GAUGAACGCUGGCGGCGUGCCUAAUACAUGCAAGUAGAACGCUGAAGGAGGAGCUUGCUUCUCCGGAUGAGUUGCGAACGGGUGAGUAACGCGUAGGUAACCUGCCUGGUAGCGGGGGAUAACUAUUGGAAACGAUAGCUAAUACCGCAUAACAGUAGAUAUCGCAUGAUAUCUGCUUGAAAGGUGCAAUUGCAUCACUACCAGAUGGACCUGCGUUGUAUUAGCUAGUUGGUGAGGUAACGGCUCACCAAGGCGACGAUACAUAGCCGACCUGAGAGGGUGAUCGGCCACACUGGGACUGAGACACGGCCCAGACUCCUACGGGAGGCAGCAGUAGGGAAGCUUCGGCAAUGGACGGAAGUCUGACCGAGCAACGCCGCGUGAGUGAAGAAGGUUUUCGGAUCGUAAAGCUCUGUUGUAAGAGAAGAACGAGUGUGAGAGUGGAAAGUUCACACUGUGACGGUAUCUUACCAGAAAGGGACGGCUAACUACGUG
rnacentral:rRNA from 1 species